CUUGACAACCAAUAAGAGGUCCAGCCUGCCCAGUGACUUUGUUCAACGGCCGCGGUAUCCUAACCGUGCGAAGGUAGCGUAAUCACUUGUUCUUUAAAUGAGGACUAGUAUGAACGGCACCACGAGGGUUAAACUGUCUCCCCUUUCUAAUCAGUGAAACUAAUCCCCCCGUGAAGAAACGGGGAUGAAUAUAUAAGACGAGAAGACCCUAUGGAGCUUCAAACACACAACAAAUGCCCCGCCUCUUGCUAAUCCCCGGAGAACCACUUACCCAAGCAUUUUGAUUUCAAGUUUUAGGUUGGGGUGACCGCGGAGUAAAAAAUAUCCUCCACAGCGAACGGGGCCCUUACCCCUAAGCUCAGGACUACAACCCUAAGAAUCAAUAAAUUGACACCCAUUGACCCAAUAUUUUUGACCAACGAAC
rnacentral:rRNA from 1 species